GGAGGGGCAAGCCUGCAGGGAGCCCGCGGCCCCUGCAAGGAGCUCUUCGCCCUGUGCGGCUCGGGGGCUGGGGCCGAGCUCCGCCUCCUUGUCGCCCCCCAGGAAUCGCCCCGCCCCACGGCUGCCGCUUCUCGCUCAGCGUUCGGCUCCCCUCACAGCGCGCUCGGCGCCCGCCCGGAGAGCCGCCUCACGAGUGCCAGGUGAGGCAGCGAGAGGAUCGGGGAUGCCAGGGAGCAAAAGCUUCAUGUGGGACUGAUCCUCCUCAGCAGAGGAUUCUUUGAUCCUUCAGUGAAGAUUCCAGGAUGCCAUGAUGGCUGCUUGUAGUUCUACUAGGAUUUUGCUUGACAACCAACAAGAUUAGAAGCCAUUUGGAAAAAAGCUGCAACGGCUAAGCAAGGCAGCACAUCUGCUGAUACCAGCACGCAGGCCAGAAUGACAUUUGCUGAAAGUUAGGAUGGAAGGAAAUUGAUGUUGAGUCUUUCCCAGUCGGCCGCAUGGAAGAAAAAAUUUGGCCAGAAGCUGACACCACUUCUCAACAAGAUUAGGAGCAACCUUUAAUCUAUUUUUUUUUAAUUCCUGGUUCCAAUUCAUAUAUACAAUGAAGGACAAUAGGGUUUUUUUUACCCACCAUGUAGUCUGUGGGACUUUCAGGAUAAAGGAUUUUGUGCAUAAUGGUUUUCAUCUUUUUGCUUCUUAAAGAGUAGAGCUUAUUUUAUGGCAUUCUUUCUCAUACUCAGUAGGCUUCUGCUUAUCCCAUUAACUGUUUCUAGUAAGCAAAUUAUCUGAGCAUUUUGUUAUGCCCCAAAUAUGCAUACAUCUGUAUCAUAUGUAUUAGCCAAAUGUUCCAAAAACCCCCAUGCAGCAGAACAGAUAAUUGUAAAAGUCUUCUCACCAGGAAAUAAUUCAGAAGAAAUCAAACCUGGCCCUGGUAAGUUUUGGGGUUUUUUAAUUAUCUUUAGUAGACAUACAAGAUGAAUUCAGAUUAAGACUUUGACCCAUCUUUGAUAUAAAGUCCAACAACAGCAGACAGCAAAGUAGGAAUGGUGGCAGAUUUAAUCAUGGAUUUUACCCACAUUCAGCAGGCCAGCAGGGCACUCAUUUCAGAGACUCAUAAGAUUAUUCUUUCCCCGUGAAAUCCUCUUGCUGCUUUCUGGUUCACUGACAGCAUCUGAAAAUGUAUUCUGAUCUGAUAUAGUGCCACUAACAAAGGAAUUCUCUCUGGCCUUAUCAAUAAUGGAAGUUGCAAAAGAUUUCACUUCUAAACUGGUAACUAAUCUUUAAACUCACCUCAAAAAACCACUUCCCCAUCUUGCUGAGCUGUGAGUCAGUGAAAGACCGCACCUGUUUUCCUGUUAUCUCCUACAAUGCCUGCUGCUCUUAGUCAAAGGGCAGAAACCAGUGAACACUAGGAGUGAUUUUCAUCUUAAGUUUUCAUGUUUAAAACCAGAAACCUUCAGAGUUACUGUUAAGCCUACACUUUUCUAGAUAUCUUAACAGUACAGAGCCGUCAUGUGUGGUAGGCUCCAAAGUGUUCCCUUCUGCUGAAAAAAAGGAAUUAUUAUAAUCUUUUCACAGGGUCCUUCAUCUAGCUGAACCCCCUCAUUUCCUUGUAUCCUUUCAGCUUUCCCUCGCUGAGGCUUAAAACUGAUGGCUGUGAUCACUAUGCAAAAGAUAAUGGAUGUUACCAGCAGUUUUCGGUAUGCCUUUGGAGGAGGUGCAGACAGAGCUGACAGGGUGCGUUACCCAUCUGUUCACUGUCAGUUUGUGACAAAGUCUGCCUGUGUUUACCAAACAGCAUUCACUGAGGGAGAGAUGAAAGGAGCCCUCCAAAUUUGCACUGAAGCAGAUGAGAGUACUGACAUGAGCUGUUUGUUCAGCUGGAGGGUCCCGAGCUGCACCAGGGAGGGUGUGAUAAGCCCCUGGCAACAGGUAACAGCCUGGCCUCCUUCAGAGUAAUGGCAGUGCUUAUGGCUCUAGGCCUCAAUUGGCCAUCAGCAAACUCUUUACUUAGGUGUAUGUCUGUGUCCAGAGUUCCAGAAAGGAGAGUUCUGGGUUUUCCUGAUGUAUCUCAGAGUGAAGUUCCAUCCAUGGAGAACGCAGUACUGAGAGGAGGAGAGAGUGCUUCUCCUGCUCUGCAGUCCCUGCUUUUCUCCUGCACCUUGUGGUGAUUUGCUGGACCCUGCUGUGAGCUGAUUCAGCUUGCUAACUGAGCAGAACGCAUGCCACCAAAAGAAUGAAGAGAUUGCUGCUGAGUUAGCAAGCUGAACCAGUUCAAGAGAAAUGGGAUGAGUGCCAAAUCUGGCCCAGGACACCCCAGAACUACAAGGCUGGAGCCCUUUCCUUCAGUUGCAGCAUCAAAUCUCUGAGUACGUGCACACCCAUCUCUCAGGCAAGCUCCCCCGUUUGACCUUACAUUUAAGUAUACAUGACUGCUGUGCCAAGCAGCAUCUAGAAUAAAAGAAAGAUAUUUUCAGGGAACUAAAAUUAAACAAAGGGGAAUCUGUUGGUUUCUGUAGAAGUUCUGUCGAGGGGAAGAUUAAAUAAGAGAGAAGGAUU